rnacentral:tRNA from 1 species
AGCACAGUAAGCUAAUUAAGCUUUUGGGUCCAUACCCCAAUCAAUGUUGGUUAAAGUCCUUCCUAUGCUA